rnacentral:rRNA from 1 species
GCUUAACGCGAAGAACCUUACCUACUCUUGACAUCCAGAGAACUUAGCAGAGAUGCUUUGGUGCCUUCGGGAACUCUGAGACAGGUGCUGCAUGGCUGUCGUCAGCUCGUGUUGUGAAAUGUUGGGUUAAGUCCCGCAACGAGCGCAACCCUUAUCCUUUGUUGCCAGCGGUUCGGCCGGGAACUCAAAGGAGACUGCCAGUGAUAAACUGGAGGAAGGUGGGGAUGACGUCAAGUCAUCAUGGCCCUUACGAGUAGGGCUACACACGUGCUACAAUGGCGUAUACAAAGAGAAGCGACCUCGCGAGAGCAAGCGGACCUCAUAAAGUACGUCGUAGUCCGGAUUGGAGUCUGCAACUCGACUCCAUGAAGUCGGAAUCGCUAGUAAUCGUAGAUCAGAAUGCUACGGUGAAUACGUUCCCGGG